rnacentral:rRNA from 1 species
CGGUAAUUCCAGCUCCAAUAGCGUAUAUUAAAGUUGUUGUGGUUAAAAAGCUCGUAGUCGAACCUUGGGCCUGGCUGGCCGGUCCCCCUCACCGGGUGCACUGAUCCAGCCGGGCCUUUCCCUCUGUGGAACCCCAUGGCCUUCACUGGCUGUGCGGGGGAAACAGGACUUUUACUGUGAAAAAAUUAGAGUGCUCCAGGCAGGCCUAUGCUCGAAUACAUUAGCAUGGAAUAAUAGAAUAGGACGUGUGGUUCUAUUUUGUUGGUUUCUAGGACCGCCGUAAUGAUUAAUAGGGACAGUCGGGGGCAUCAGUAUUCAGUUGUCAGAGGUGAAAUUCUUGGAUCUACUGAAGACUAACUACUGCGAAAGCAUUUGCCAAGGAUGUUAUCAUUGAUAAGGAACGAAAGUUAGGGGAUCGAAGACGAUCAGAUACCGUCGUAGUCUUAACUAUAAACUAUGCCGACUAGGGAUCGGACGAUGUUAUUAUUUGACGCGUUCGGCACCUUUCGAGAAAUCAAAGUGCUUGGGCUCCAGGGGGAGUAUGGUCGCAAGGCUGAAACUUAAAGAAAUUGACGGAAGGGCACCACCAGGGGUGGAACCUGCGGCUUAAUUUGACUCAACACGGGGAAACUCACCAGGUCCAGACACAGUGAGGAUUGACAGAUUGAGAGCUCUUUCUUGAUUCUGUGGGUGGUGGUGCAUGGCCGUUCUUAGUUGGUGGAGUGAUUUGUCUGCUUAAUUGCGAUAACGAACGAGACCUUAACCUGCUUAAAUAGGCCCGUACUGCUCUGGCAGUUCGCUGGCUU